AGGAGGAGCAGAGCUUCAUUAAUUCUGUGAAAUGGUUUAACGUCUGUCCAUGAGGAGGGUCCUGAGCCUGCCUUGGAAGUCACACUGCAUCAUUUCUGCUCCUAGGGCACUGACUAAUCAGCUCCUGCACCAGGGAACAGUGGAAAUCCUGCCUUUGGCACCAUGAUUUUUGUGCCAGAAAGAUUUAUCCAAAGGUGAUCACAGCCUUUGACUUACCUGCUCAGGAAAUCAAAGGCAGUGAGAGGAAAUGAACAUUCUCCAUUGCCCUCUGCUGCAAGUGCCUUCAGGAGGAGCUGGAAGGACUGUCUCUGAGAUGUGGCUGCAUUUGGAUCCCUUGAUU